GUGAACGCUGGCGGCGUGUCUAAGGCAUGCAAGUCGAACGAUUCGUAGCAAUACGAAGAGUGGCAAACGGGUGCGUAACACAUUGGUAAUCUACCUCCGACUCGUGGACAACUUGGAGAAAUCCGGGCUAAUACACGAUGGUCUAUUGCGGCGCAAGCUGUAAUAGUAAAGAUUUAUCGGUCGGAGAGGAACCUAUGGCCUAUCAGCUAGUUGGUGAGGUAAUGGCCCACCAAGGCUACGACGGGUAGCGGGUGUGAGAGCACGACCCGCCUCACUGGGACUGAGACACUGCCCAGACUCCUACGGGAGGCUGCAGUCAUGAAUAUUCCUCAAUGCACGAAAGUGUGAAGGAGCGACGCCGCGUGAAUGAUGAAGCCCUUCGGGGUGUAAAGUUCUUUUCUUUGGGACGAACAAAUGACGGUACCAAAGGAAUAAGGGGCUGCUAACCUCGU
rnacentral:rRNA from 1 species